rnacentral:rRNA from 1 species
CAGUCGAACGAAACUUCUUUAUCACCGAGUGCUUGCACUCACCGAUAAAGAGCUUUGUGGCGAACGGGUGAGUAACACGUGGGCAACCUGCCCAAAAGAGGGGGAUAACACUUGGAAACAGGUGCUAAUACCGCAUAACCAUAGUUACCGCAUGGUAACUAUGUAAAAGGUGGCUAUGCUACCGCUUUUGGAUGGGCCCGCGGCGCAUUAGCUAGUUGGUGGGGUAAAGGCUUACCAAGGCAAUGAUGCGUAGCCGAACUAAGAGGUUGAUCGGCCACAUUGGGACUGAGACACGGCCCAAACUCCUACGGGAGGCAGCAGUAGGGAAUCUUCCACAAUGGGCGAAAGCCUGAUGGAGCAACGCCGCGUGGGUGAAGAAGGUCUUCGGAUCGUAAAACCCUGUUGUUAGAGAAGAAAGUGCGUGAGAGUAACUGUUCACGUUUCGACGGUAUCUAACCAGAAAGCCACGGCUAACUACGUGCCAGCAGCCGCGGUAAUACGUAGGUGGCAAGCGUUAUCCGGAUUUAUUGGGCGUAAAGGGAACGCAGGCGGUCUUUUAAGUCUGAUGUGAAAGCCUUCGGCUUAACCGGAGUAGUGCAUUGGAAACUGGGAGACUUGAGUGCAGAAGAGGAGAGUGGAACUCCAUGUGUAGCGGUGAAAUGCGUAGAUAUAUGGAAGAACACCAGUGGCGAAAGCGGCUCUCUGGUCUGUAACUGACGCUGAGGUUCGAAAGCGUGGGUAG